CGUAGCCACCCCGCAGUCGCCGGACUGCGUGGGUGUGCGUGUGUGACCCAGCCAUCGCCACCACACCCCAGUUCUGACCCUGGAGUUUGACCAGCAUCCCAAGUGACAGUCAUUGAAGUCCUAUGGCAAGAUAUAAGUCAAAACAACUGAAAUGACCUGAGAUGAAGUGGAUAACCUUGACAUCUUUAAUAUCUAACCAAGCUGUAAGCUCUCCACAGCAUCUGCUUCAGACUCCUUCAUGGUCUUUGAAACAAAUUGUUCUUAUCCAGCCAUUCUAAGUCUUCAUGAACUUGGGGUAGACACCCGCCCCCUCCCCAGCAAAAAAAAAAAAACAACAAAAAAAACUCACCAAGGGAUGAGAGACUUGUCAGUUACCCUUGAUCUAACUUAGCCCAUUUGUGCCAUGAUGGUUUUUACUCUGGUAUGACUGCUGGACAUGCUUGCAGCUUCUUGAAGCCACAAGUGAGAACUGAGUGAAAAGGUGGACACCAGAGGUGAAUGAGCAGCCCUGAAAUGGGCUUGGCUAGUCCUCACAUUAGAGAUGCUAGUCCUCCUAAUACUGCAUGCACUAAAAAAAUAAAUUAUAUAUAUAUAUAUAUAUAUACAUAUAUAUAUAUAUAUAACUAGACAUAUAUUCUCUAAAGUUAAAAUGCUAAGAGAAAGAAACCACUUGUAGAAAGAUACUUAUAGCAACACUUUUGCUGUUCCAAAGAAUUAGAAUUUAAAUGAGUGCCAAUCAGUUCAAGAAUUGUUCUCUAAAUUCUGUUCAUUGAACUCAUCAUCAUUUCAUACAUAUAUUUCCAGGUUUCUCUGAAUCUAUCAUAAUCAUCAUUUCAGAGGGUGCAGCAAUAUUGUAGUACAACCAUGCCAUUUUUUUUUUGGUGGGAUUUUUGGAAGGGGCAACCCAUAUUCUCUCUCCUACUCCUGCCCCAAAUGCAAAAAAGACAGAAAAGCAAAAACUAUUUUGUAUGAAUAGUCAAGGAGAAAAAAAAAAUCCUCUAUUGACUGUGUGAGAAAAUGCUAAUGAAUAAAAUGCUGGACUAGGAUUCAGUAGGACCUGAGUUUAAAUUCUACUUUAGGCAUUUACCAGGUAAGUGAUUAGACAAAUCACUUAACCUCUCCCAGCUUGUUUCCUCAUCUGUAAAAUGGAGAUAAUAAUAGCACCAACCUCAUAGCGUUGUUGUGAAGAUCAAAUGGGAUAAUAUAUAUAAAUUGCUUUGCUAACCUUAAAGUAGUUUGUAAAUAUUAGCUGUUUAUUAUCUAUUAUAUAUAUGUAUGUAUAUAUAUAUGUAUAUAUAUAUAUAUAUAUAAUCUAUGGCUCAUUCUUGGGCCUCUGCUAUGUGCUUUGGGACUAUUUGCUGAUCCUCAUAAAAGACUUCAUUUUCUGCCUCCAA